ensembl:lncRNA
GUCAGGGGGUGCGGCCGACAGGAGAUACCCAGCCUCCGAGGUCAGGGGCGGCGGACGGGAGGAGCUACCCCACGCUCCCAAGCCCAAGGCCAGGGGCGGCAGCCAGGAGGAACAACCCACCAGCGAGCCCAGGGGCGGCGUCAAGAGGCCGGGCCGUGGCUGCGCGGACACAGGAGGGCCUAAAGGAGCUAUCCCACAUUGAAGGACAAUGUUUAGGUGCUGCAUUGAUUCUCACGUUCAUGACACAUCCUCCCUUUACAAGUGAUUAAAGGAGCAGAUGUUUCAGGCAGACGCUUUACCAUCUGAGCUACCAGAGAAGCUGAAAUGAUGUUACCUGAGGCCAAGAAGAAAACUGCAG